UACGGAGGGUGCGAGCGUUAAUCGGAAUUACUGGGCGUAAAGGGUGCGUCGGUGGUUUAUUAAGUUAUCUGUGAACUUCCUGGGCUUAACCUAGGGUGGUCAGAUAAGACUGAUGGACUCGAGUAUAGGAGAGGGUAGUGGAAUUUCCGGUGGAGCGGUGAAAUGCGUAGAGAUCGGAAGGAACACCAGUGGCGAAGGCGGCUACCUGGCCAGAUACUGACACUGAGGCACGAAAGCGUGGGGAGCAAGCAGG
rnacentral:rRNA from 1 species